AGUGAACGCUGGCGGCAGGCCUAACACAUGCAAGUCGAACGGCAGCACAAGAGAGCUUGCUCUCUGGGUGGCGAGUGGCGGACGGGUGAGGAAUGCAUCGGAAUCUGCCCAUUUGUGGGGGAUAACCUCGGGAAACCGGGACUAAUACCGCAUACGACCUACGGGUGAAAGCAGGGGAUCUUCGGACCUUGCGCAGAUGGAUGAGCCGAUGCCGGAUUAGCUAGUUGGAGGGGUAAAGGCCCACCAAGGCGACGAUCCGUAGCUGGUCUGAGAGGAUGAUCAGCCACACUGGGACUGAGACACGGCCCAGACUCCUACGGGAGGCAGCAGUGGGGAGUAUUGGACAAUGGGCGCAAGCCUGAUCCAGCCAUGCCGCGUGUGUGAAGAAGGCCUUCGGGUUGUAAAGCACUUUUGUUGGGAAAGAAAAGCAGCCGGUUAAUACCCGGUUGUCAUGACGGUACCCAAAGAAUAAGCACCGGCUAACUUCGUG
rnacentral:rRNA from 1 species